GGACGCCAACAAUUGUUUAUAAUCAGGAGCCAUCUUUAAACCUUUCGUUUCAUGGAUAUUGCCAUGCAUGGUCAUAAUUUAUGAGGCUUCUUGUCACAUGGUAGUAAAUGCUAUAAUUUUUUUUAUCUCUAAGCACUAGGCCCGAUCAAAAGAUCUUAGGUUUUCAACUUGAAGAUAGUCCCCGUUCUCAAAACAAUGCCUUCAACAAGGCCAUUGCCAGGCACAACCACGGAUUUUCACCCUGAAAGGUAAGACUCGAACCUCCAUUGCUAGUACUCCAAUCCGGCCUUCAUGAUAUUCUCCGACUGUGUUUUCACCAUGGACCAGAAUGUCAUCAGAUGGCAACAUAGAACAGAGCUUGGGUGCACACUACCGAAUACCACCUGAUCCAGCAAACUCCAGGCAUAAAGGGCCGGUCUUAGGAAGGUCACCAUCUUCGCAAAAGAAGAACCCUAGGGCAGCCACCUUUAUUAGGCAGAUCGGUGGAAGAAGAGGUCGCUGCUGACCACAAACCCAUCGACGAGUCGUCCGCCGCCACCCCAAACACCGAAGUAGGCCACCACCGUGAGCCGCCGGGAGGGAGAGGCGCAGAGGACCUACCAACCACCACCAGGCACGACCACGCCGCCGUAGACGCUGGAUCCGCAGCCAUCGGGGACACCCCCGCCGCCAACCGCAUCGCCGAAGCAUCACCCGGCUGCCACAAACCUUGCUCGGGCAGCUAGGCCCGACGCGCCGUAGAACCACCGGUCGAGGCCGCCGCCCUGGAUCCCGCCCAGGACACCACCACGCCGAUCCCCGACCAGCCCCGCUACCGGCCGGCGAUCUCUGUUGUCGAUCCGGCGCCUCCUCCGCGCGCGCACACAAGAGGGUAGCCUGCCGCUGCCGCCGCCCAGAGCACCACGGUUUUUGUGUAAUUUCAUAUUAAACAACUAAAAUUGUUGAUAUUUUUUGCGACUUCAUAUUAUGCGUAACUUUAAUAGAUCAAUUUAUUAUUUACAUAUUUAGGUUCAAAUUUGUUCGGCAAUGUCAACGGCUAAUUCAAUCAAUGUAGGCAGCAUUUUCCACUUAAGUGAAGAAUUGCAACCGUAUGUGUCUCGAACUCGAAGGAAAACCGAGACAGGCAUGCAUCAUCUCUUUUUGGCAUGACUUGACAAUUUUGUAUUUGGGCGUGGCUAAAAACGCUAAAACUUAGUUGCGUCCGUCUGGGAAACUAAGUUCGGUCGUACUUCCUAGGUUCACAAAUAAGUGUAUAUUUAGAUUUGUUUUAUAUAAUUUAUAAAUUUAUUAAAUUUGAUUUUUUUUUGAAAAAGUAGCAAUAUUUAUCACACUCGUUAGAUUUAUCUCGACAUGUAGUUUAAUAAAAUUUACAAUUUAAUGUUAUAUAUGUUGCUAUUUUUAUAUAAAAAAAUUGGUAAAAUUUAAUAAAAUUUGAUCUACGAGAAAGCUAACCAGGGACGAGUAAAUAACAUACACAUCAAAGGAAAUUCAAAUCCCGGUUGUACACGGACAGAAGGCAGAAGUACCGACACGUAGAAAAUAUGUGGAUACGUGUCGAUUGAUCACAUGACCAUUCCGUGCAUGAGCUAAGGAAAAAAAAAGGAAGCGGAGCUGGUGUAUUUACUGGAGUAAUAAAGAAAACAGUGUACUGUCAAAAAAGAACACAGUUGUGUCCCAGAGAUAGCCAGCCUCCUCCUCUCUCCCAAGACUCAAUCCAGCCACCGCUUUUUAAACCUCAACGACGGCUCCUCUACCCUUCCUCCGUCCCCUGCAACAAAUCAUCCAUUCUUGUGUAUCUUCUGCUGUACUCCCUCCGUCCUCAAAUAAGUGGAUAUCUAGCCUCAAACUUUGUCCAUGAAAGAUUGUACUUCUAUGUUUUCAAUGCACUUUAAAUUAGCAAAAGUUGUUUCUCUCCCAUCGCACGGAAAUCAAACCCAAUAAUAUUCAACACAUGUUAUCUUAACUUUGUACAUGCACUUAGCCUAUUGGAUGUGUAAUAAUUAUAGAGGAGAGAGAUGUUGGUUGCAUCUUCCCAAUACAAUUUUUUUCUCCUUUUACUAAUUUAUCUUGAAAAUCCCGCACGUCCACUUAUUUGUGGACGGAGGGAGUAGACCUCAAAUGCUGUGGAGAAGGAGUUAGAAAUGGCUGGCCGCAAGGAAGAGGGGAGCGGGCGGUCGGGGCAGCAGGAGAGCAAAACAAGCAGGCGGCCAUGGGGGAGGGACAACGCGAAGAGGAAGGGGGAUGGGAAGAGGAGGGAGCAGGGGAAUGGGAAGGAGGAGGAAGGCAAGAAGUUUGGGCCGCAAUUCUGCAGGCUGUUCUUGGCCCCUGAAUCCGGGGGGAGUGAUUGAGAAUUCUAUGAGCAUUCUGUCAGUACCUUCUGAAUCAUCCAACUGGAUUGAUGUCCCUGAAAGGUCAAAGUGGUAACACGUGGCCUGCAAAGCUUUCUUUAGACACUGAAGGGUUAUUCUUUGGACAUGGGUGGAAGGAAUUUAUUAUGGAUCAUUCCAUAGAGUCAGGACACACUUUAACCUUCUCUUAUGAUGGGCACUCACAAUUCUCAGUGGUGGUAUUUGAUGGACUCUGUAUUGAGAAGUCAUCAGCUUUUCAUGCUAAGCCUUCAAACGAUCUGGUCUGUACAACAGAAAGUGAUGAAGAGGACAAUGAUAUAUCGGCUGCUUUAGUUGAUUACAAAUCAGCAAGUCUUAACAGUACUGAAGGCCCUAUCAAAAGAUCUUAGGUUUUCACCCUGAAGAUAGUCCCCGCUCUCAAAAAAUGUCUUCAACAAGGCCAUUGCCAGGCACAACCAAUUAAGGCUCGACCUUGGAUUUUCACCCUGAAAGAGAAUUCCACCAGCAUUCUAUCAGUACGUUCAGAAUCAUCCAAUUGGAUUGAUAUACCUGAAAGGUCAAAGUGGUAACACAUGGCCUGCAAAGCUUUCUUCAGACAUUGAAGGGUUGUUCUUUGGACAUGGGUGGAAGGAAUUUGUUAUGGAUAAUUCCAUAGAGUCAGGACACAUUUUAACCUUCUCUUAUAAUGGACACUCACAAUUCUUGGUGGUGGUAUUUGAUGGACUCUGUAUUGAGAAGUCAUUAGCUUUUGAUGCUAAGCUUUGAAACAAUCUGGUUUGUAUAAUAGAAACUGAUGAAGAGGACAAUGAUACAUCGGCUGCUUCAGUUGGUUACAAAUCAUUAAGCCUUAACAGUACUGAAGAUUCUGAUUCACCAAACCACGUGUUAGAAGAAAGUGUCCCUCACAAAGAUUCUUCAAUGUUUUCACCGAUGUUCAGAAUUUCUAAGGAAGUGGAUGAAUCUAGGGUGUCCCUCACAAAGAUUCUUCAAAGUUUUCACCUCAAGUUUUCUAAGGAAGUUAGACCUGCUUGAGCCCCGUCGUGCUUAGUUGCUUGCUCGUGGUCAUGUUCCCCUUUAUGAGGUGCGGUCUGAGCUUCGUGCUGAGGAGACUCGCCUACGUGGCGUUGGUUUACUGGAUGUUCCUUCUGUACUUGCUACACAUGGCCCUUCGUCGCCUGCUCUACCGCCUUCUUCGAGGCACGUUGCUCUGCCACUUUUACCCACUACCGAGGCCCAGGGCCAAAGUUGUGGUUAGGGUCAGGGCCAGUGUCGUGGCUAGGGUCGCUCCCGUCCUCACUGCACCUAUUGUGACAUGGAUGGUCAUAUUGAGUCCCGCUGCUACACGAAGGAGCGUGAUAUACGUCAGCAGAGGUCGUUCGCUUUCGGAUCUUCUCCAGCUAGCUCCACCAAGCAAGAUAUUGUGUGGCUCAGGCGGCUGCUCGCCGCUUCAGGGUCUCCCUCGACAGCCUGUGACUGAUUCUUCUGGCACUAUGUGACCACCAUCUUCUACACAGGAUCGUCGCACACAAGCUUUGGUUGGAGCUGGCCCUCGCCGACAUGAUUCCCAGGGGUUUUGGGAGUUAGACUGGCUUCGUGUUCCUUGCGCUGCCACCUCGUCUUCCAGUUCUUCUGCUAUCGUUGCUUUUGCCACCAGUGGUAUCAUCGUCUUGGCCACCUUUGUGGUUCUCGUAUGUCGUCAUUAAUUCAUCGUGGUCUUCUAGGGCAUGUCUCAGAGGCAAGGUAAACAUAUUCAGUUACCCUAUCAUAGUAGUGUGUCUGUAUCUCAGCGACCUUUUGAUUUAUUCACUCUGAUGUUUGGGGACUGGCUCCUUUCGCUUCGAAAGGCUGCAUAUUUCACCUUGUACAUGUACUAUAUAUUGUGACCUUUGGCCUCAUGGAAUACAUAUUGGCAUAUUCCCUCCAA